UACGUAGGUGGCAAGCGUUGUCCGGAUUUAUUGGGUUUAAAGGGUGCGUAGGCGGCCCUGUAAGUCAGUGCUGAAGUAUCCCGGCUUAACCGGGAGGGUGGCAUUGAUACUGCAGGGCUUGAGUGAAGUCGAGGUAGGCGGAAUUGACGGUGUAGCGGUGAAAUGCUUAGAUAUCGUCAAGAACACCGAUAGUGAAGACAGCUUACUAGACUUCAACUGACGCUGAGGCACGAAAGUGUGGGGAUCAAACAGG
rnacentral:rRNA from 1 species